AGAAAACUGCCUGGAACAGAAGCAGAAACCACCCCGUCGAAGAUGUCAGCAGCCCAAAGUGCUGAAUAGCCCUGAGGAUAACAUAUAUUAUAACCAGUUAAAUGGAACUCUAGGAUAUCAAGGGAGCAAAAGGAAGCCAAGAAAACUUGGUCAAAUAAAAGUGCUGGAUUGGGAAGAUGAGUAUUACAAGUCAUUAUCAGUGGUAGAUUCUAUCACAGAAGAAGACAACACAUUUCAACCCCUUCCUCCCUUUCAAAGCUGAACUUUGGCUCCCUAACUCAUCAGUGUGAGAUUUCCAUUGUCUGGAGUAUGAAAAAGGGUAUAUGAGGCUCUUUGAAGAAGGAAACCCAACCCAAACCUGAAGUAGCUGCCACUUCCUCUGCCACCUCUGUGACUCCAUUCUUGUUGCUAUUCUUCUCUACCAGGAGACAGGUCUGUUCCUCUAGAUUGCUGCUGUCACCUUACCUUGGCUGAAGCCAUUUGAUGGAGGAUUAUUGGAGAAUGUUUCCUGAACUCCCAGUGACCAGAUAAGAAGGAAGAAGCCUAAAUCUUCAUCCUAUGGCUUCCAUUUGGUGGCAUUCUGGAUCAGAGAAUAAUAGUUCAAUAUGGUUCCAAAUCUUUCCUGGUGUUAGCUGUCUGAACUCUACUUCUGUUUAAAGCCUGCAUGAUUCCAUUUCCUCAUUUAAUUUUGUUCUCUUAAGCUUUGCUGUGUCACUUUUCCUGCUCUUCUCCAAUGUUCAAGGUAACAUAAUAUUUUGCUUGAUGGUAAUUAUAGGUUUUUCAAGAAGUGAUACAGAUAUGAAAUAAAUGUAGUCCAUUGACCUUCUAAGGUCUUUAAAUGAAGCUAUUAUCAUUGCAAUAAAAAUAUGGUUUCAGAACAGAGUAGAGCACCAAUUUUCCAUACUGAUGAAAUAUAUAGUAAUUGAAAAAAGUUUCUGCUGUCCAUUUUGCUUAGAUCCAAAAAUCGGAAUAUUGAUUUCCCCAAUUUCAUUGCAUAUCCAGAUUUAGGCUAAUCCUAUACCCCUCUUGGAGAUUUCCAAAUAAAGCUCUGUGUGAUGCCAUUCUUAAUAAAUAAAUCAACAUAGGCAUAA